rnacentral:rRNA from 1 species
UACGUAGGGGGCAAGCGUUGUCCGGAUUUAUUGGGCGUAAAGAGCGUGUAGGCGGCCAGACAGGUCCGUUGUGAAAACUCGAGGCUCAACCUCGAGACGCCGAUGGAAACCGUCUGGCUAGAGUCCGGAAGAGGAGAGUGGAAUUCCCGGUGUAGCGGUGAAAUGCGCAGAUAUCAGGAGGAACACCGGUGGCGAAGGCGGCAUCCUGGACCGACAUUGACGCUGAGGAGCGAAAGCUAGGGGAGCAAACGGG